GAUAGUGUAGAUCUAAACACAUAUGUGUAUUGAGGAUAAGAGUAAUUAAGACAAAAAAGUAAAAUAGCCUAGCCAAGGAUUUUCCCUUUGACUUUGUCAUUUGAGCCUCAAAAAAUAGUUUCAGAGAAAUAUAACAGGCAUUGAUAGACACAUUUCAUAGAUGAGGAAAGUGAGUCUCAGAAAUGUUAAACUGCUUUCACCAGAUUGCGAAGAGAGUUAGAGGGACAGCUAAGACCUUCUUUCAUCCACCUGCAGGAAAAUCUUUCUCUUCAUGGGAGCUCCUGUGUCAGCCCUCCAGCUCCUCUCAAGGUCUCUGAGCAGGCUCUCUCAGCCCGUGGCCAGGACCCAGGUUCCCUGUCUCCUCAGUCCUCCCCAGAACUACUCACCUGGAAGAGCUCCUGAACCUGAGCAUCCACCCAUUGCUCCAUCUCCAGCCAGCGCUGGAGCUGCCCCAGGUCGUACUUCACUGUUAGUCGGCUGGGUCUCCUGGACCUGGACACCCUAGAGGGGUCUGUGUGGGACUUUGACUCUGAGUCUGUGGAUGAUGUCCUCCUCCUUCUCUCAGAAGUCCACUGAACCUUCUUAUUGGGGUUCUCCCUGUCCGGGUUGGGAGAUGUGCAGGAACCCUGGCUUGAAGACAGCAUGGAAGGACUGGCUUGGGCGAGGAGCUGAGAAAAACUGCCUGUCAGACCAAAAGCACAGAGGGAAAUGAGGAGACAGAAUGGAGGGAGAGGCCAGUGGGAAGGCAGAUGGGAGGAGGGCCAAGGGCCCUGGGAGCGGUGAGGGUCAAAGAUCAACAGGCCUUUGGUGCUGGGAAUGCCAAUCUCCUGGCUCCUUAUUGCCAGCAAGAGGCACUCCAGAGCUGUGCCCAGCUUCCCUUUCUGUAGCUGAUGAGGUCCACAGUAUCAUAACCGUAGACAAGCAGAAGUCAAGAGGCUGCUGUGCCCCAGGAGGAAGAAGGAAGGGAACCUUGGAUCCUGAGGGGUGACGGGACUCCAUCAUGGGUGCCCUUUGGCUCCACCUUUUAAAGGUUCUGCCACCUGACACACUGGGAACCAAGAUUCCAUCACAUGAACCUUUGGGGACACUCAAACCAUAUCCAAACCACAGCAACUUGAAAACCACUGCUACCAACAUUCUGCUGCACAAUCAGUUGCUUCUUUCCCAGCAUACCAUCAUGGUCACCACUAUGCCAGGGGCUAUGGAACACCCCUGAAAAUCUAGAGAAGGGAAGACAUACACCAGCUGCCAACCCCAGCACCCAUAAUGUGGGCAGUGGGUUGGAUGUUGCUGUUCAUGAAAGAAAAUGAUCCUUGGCUACAAGUCCUACUAGGUAAAGCUGCUCUGUGUGAGAAAUGGGGAAGAAUGUUCCCAUUGGGUCGUAAACACAUCAUGAAAAGAUGUGGAAUCUCUUUUGAGGGAGGGAGAGCAUUAAUAGGACUAAUCUUGUUGUGUAGAGAAUGGUCUUUUAAGAGGUUUUCACUUAGUGCAUGAACUUGGCUUCAAGGAGGCCACGGUUUUGUGAAGGACAUAAAACCAGCUCCAUCUGUGAACUGGAACCUCUAAGCUUCCAUGGAUGACACUUCACUGGACGAGAGUGGUCACUGCUGACCUGGAACAGUUCCUUUGUGGGAGAGGAGAGGAACCUGAGCUCAAGAGAUAAGGGGGCAGCCCAUCAAUGAGGGGUGAGAGACUACAAAGAAAAUGUUAAUACAAGUUGAGGGAAGGCCUCAAACGGAACCACUGUGGUCAAGCAGAGAAGUCUGGAUAAGGGAAAUCGCCUGUUUCUCAUUCUGGCAGAAAGGAUGGCUGCCCAGAACUGGAAAGGGUGAUGACACUGAGGCAGACAUCCCAGAUCCCAGGUGCAGCCUGGGAUCACAGGUGCAGCCACCCAGCUUCUGGGUUCUCUUCCCUUCAGGAGAUGGAAAUGAUGUCUUAGGUGUUGGCUACGGAGAGCGAGAUCGUUUGCAUCUGCCUUUCCCCAGCCCCUACCCAAGCUCCUCCCGGCCUGGGACUGGGAAUGCUGGCUCCGACAGGAAAGGGAGACAAGAAGCAGCAGUCAAAGAGCACGACUUGCGCGACUUUGCUGCAGCGUCCCGAACCUGAGUUGGCCUUCGGAGUUCAGGAAGCAGUUCUGGGGCGCAGAGCCCCUCCGGAGGCUGGGCCCUGUGGAGGUCGCCUCGAGGGGACGCGGCUCCGUUCUCCAAGUGCUCUGAGAACCUGGCAGCUCCGGGGGGUCGAGGAUCCCAGGGCGGCAGUGCUGGCAGGGGCCGGAAG